GUUGGGUUAGUGUAGUGGUCAUCACGUUCGCUUUAGACGCGAAAGGUCACCGGAUCGAAACCGGUGCUCAAUA